GCAGAGGAGCCGUGGCUCAUUGGUAGGCCACCUGCCUUGCAUGCGGGAGUCCCCAGCUUCAAUCCCUACUGGAAUCCUCUGCU